GAAAAAAACAUAAAAUACUAAAACUUAUUUUCAGCUAAAAUAAAAAAUCUCACCAAAAGUGUUCAUUUCCCUCAAACUUCAGCUAACAUUUUCAUUCUUUUCAAACUUCAGUGAAGUAUGCGAAAUUCAGCUGAGGAGAUGAAGAAAUUGGCUUUCUCUCAAGAAGAACGGAUGAACACGUACGAUUUCCCUAACAAUUUUUCAUCAAACUUUAUCUGAAGAACUGAAGAACAAAAUGAUUUUUCUAAAGAAGAACUGAAGAACACGAUUUUCCUCGCACAGAUUCCUUUUCGAAGAUUGAAUAGAUGAAGAACACGAUUUCCUCCCAUAUUCCUUCUUGAAGAGUUGUUCCAUCAGAUUUCUUGUUGAAAAUUUAACAAAAUGUUUCAUAGAUGAACUUGCCUCACGUCUUAAAUUUUAAUAUUGUUGGAAUGGAGUUUAUAAGAUGGGGCUGCAGCUAAGCCAAAUGGUCCUGGUUUUGUAGGGGGUUCUCUGAGAGUUAUUUGCCUUCAAGGAACUCUACAAUGGACAGUAUUUUGGACAGCUGAUUACUUGUUCGAAGAGUUUGCGGACGUUGAAGCUUUUCCGUUGUUCUGGAGAUUGGGAUAAGAUUCUGGAAUAGAUUGCUGGACAAGUCAGUGAUUUUGUUGAAACUUAUCUUGAGAGGCUUCAUGUUAGUGAUACUGGUCUUGCUGCUAUUUCUAGUGUAAGCUUGAGAUAAACAUUGAAUUAGAGUAAGGUAAAAGAAGAGAAGAUGUGGAAACAAGAUCUAUGAACUUCUAUUGAACAAUAAGUCUCUAAAUCACCCAAGGUUUAUCAUGUAAGUCAUAAAACAUUAACACUCUCUUUUUCCCCAAAUCAAAAAACCUUCCGUCGAUUUGAAGAACACGAUUUUUUCUCCAAACUAAGACUGAAUAACACGAUUUCCGUCAAACAUUCUCACAGGCUUCACGAUUUUACGUUGAAAAGCUGAACAAUAUUUCACGAUUUAUUUUUGAAACCUAGCUCUUGUUUAAUUGUUGUUUUUGGAAAUGGAGGUGUGUUAAUUGCUAAGCGUGGUAGUAAGGUACUGGUGGAGCCUCAUAAACUUUGAGGCGUGUUCAUGUCUAUCUUUAUCCUCCAAAAGAUUUUAGUGUCAUUCGGGGAUGAAUUUUCUUAAGGGGGGUAGGGGCGAUAAUGUAACAUUCUGGAAGUUUUGUGACAUAGACUAGAGCUUAGUCUGUUGAAUAAUAUUUAAAAGGAUGUUUCCAGACCUAUAUUAAUGUAAUUAACUCAAUUAGAAAAGGUUAGAUCCAAAACAAGGACCAUGACGUCUGGAAACUAGGUAAAUUGAACUAGUAGGCGUCUCUAUGUUUGGUGAAGGAUUGGGUGUGUCAAAAAAAGUCCAAAACUUGUAAAAAGACUUUAAAUAGGUAAAAUAUAAUACAAAGAGUCCAAAAGUUUGGCAACGACUCCCCAAGGACCUCUAGAAGGGUCCUUAAGGAGGACCCAAACCUUGGUGAGCAAGCUGCCAAAGAAGCUUGCGACAACCAAGAUGUAAAGCCAACCACGCGUCAUGCAGCAUACAUGAGGUAUGCUAAAAAAGUUUCCUCGCGAUGCGGGGCCUACACAAGGUCCACUACUUAAACUCAGAUUUUUAAAAAUAAAUGUGGAAUUUCCCCCGCGACGUGCAGCAACUUCCCAGGUUUGUCUGCGUCAUUUUAAAGUCAAUUUAACUUCACAAAAAGACCUUAUUAAUUGAGGUAUUUUUUGGGAAAUUUAGGGGACGAGUUUAUAUUGGUUUCAGGUGAGUUUCAAACCACUUUCACGCACUCUAAAUCAGAAUUAAAAGAUCCCUCUCAUCUCUCUCUCUCUCUCUAUUCAACCACCAUUGAAGAACAAGAAAAGUUUGAGAAAGAAGACAAAGACUCCAAGAUUUUUAUUCACAAUUCAUGGAAUAAUCGUGAAUAAGGUAUGUUUUCUUCAGUCUUGGUAUUCCUUUCCCAAAGAGGUCCUUUUCAAAGAUGAUUUCAAACAAUUCAAUUCCAAUGGUUUUUACUCUACAAACGGGUUUUCUUCCAAACUUGAGAUUUAUGACUAAUGAUGAAAAACUAUGAUCUUUUAUGGCAAAUUAAGUAUGAAUUUGUUGGGUAAUUGAUAUGUAAUGUUGGGUAUUCGUGUGAAGCAUGUUACAUAUGAAAAUAAUGGAUUCGAGUAUCUUAUAUCUAUCAUUUAAUGUCAUGUAAAUGUUGGGAUUGGAACUAUAGGUUGAAUGAACUCUUAAGUGAUUCCUUUCCCUUAACCCUAACUAUGAAUUGAUCUUGUAAAUGACUAGAAUGGCUUGGAUUGGAUGUUAUUGUGAAAUUCACAAUAUUAUUGAAUGAUUGUGAUGAAUUGAAUGUAAGUUCUUGAACAAGAUUCUUGGAAGAAAUAGGGUCCUACCACUGAAGAUUAAGGACGAUUGAAGAAGCUUGGAACUGUUUCCCCAAGUGUUGGUAGGUCCUUAUGUUCGGGGAUGCUAUCUUUUCGUUAUUCUAGAUUAUGAAGAUUUUCGUAGUUUAAGAGAUACUCCUUAUUUCUUUUUAUCAUUUGGAUUUUAUUGUAAUAAGGCCUAUAUGGCAUAUUGACAUUGUAUUGACUAAGUCCAAGAUUCGUAUCUUUUAGA